AGAGUUUGAUCAUGGCUCAGAUUGAACGCUGGCGGCAGGCCUAACACAUGCAAGUCGAGCGGUAGCACAGAGAGCUUGCUCUCGGGUGACGAGCGGCGGACGGGUGAGUAAUGUCUGGGAAACUGCCUGAUGGAGGGGGAUAACUACUGGAAACGGUAGCUAAUACCGCAUAAUGUCGCAAGACCAAAGUGGGGGACCUUCGGGCCUCAUGCCAUCAGAUGUGCCCAGAUGGGAUUAGCUAGUAGGUGGGGUAACGGCUCACCUAGGCGACGAUCCCUAGCUGGUCUGAGAGGAUGACCAGCCACACUGGAACUGAGACACGGUCCAGACUCCUACGGGAGGCAGCAGUGGGGAAUAUUGCACAAUGGGCGCAAGCCUGAUGCAGCCAUGCCGCGUGUGUGAAGAAGGCCUUCGGGUUGUAAAGCACUUUCAGCGGGGAGGAAGGCGGUGAGGUUAAUAACCUCAUCGAUUGACGUUACCCGCAGAAGAAGCACCGGCUAACUCCGUGCCAGCAGCCGCGGUAAUACGGAGGGUGCAAGCGUUAAUCGGAAUUACUGGGCGUAAAGCGCACGCAGGCGGUCUGUCAAGUCGGAUGUGAAAUCCCCGGGCUCAACCUGGGAACUGCAUUCGAAACUGGCAGGCUAGAGUCUUGUAGAGGGGGGUAGAAUUCCAGGUGUAGCGGUGAAAUGCGUAGAGAUCUGGAGGAAUACCGGUGGCGAAGGCGGCCCCCUGGACAAAGACUGACGCUCAGGUGCGAAAGCGUGGGGAGCAAACAGGAUUAGAUACCCUGGUAGUCCACGCCGUAAACGAUGUCGAUUUGGAGGUUGUGCCCUUGAGGCGUGGCUUCCGGAGCUAACGCGUUAAAUCGACCGCCUGAGGAGUACGGCCGCAAGGUUAAAACUCAAAUGAAUUGACGGGGGCCCGCACAAGCGGUGGAGCAUGUGGUUUAAUUCGAUGCAACGCGAAGAACCUUACCUGGUCUUGACAUCCACAGAACUUUCCAGAGAUGGAUUGGUGCCUUCGGGAACUGUGAGACAGGUGCUGCAUGGCUGUCGUCAGCUCGUGUUGUGAAAUGUUGGGUUAAGUCCCGCAACGAGCGCAACCCUUAUCCUUUGUUGCCAGCGGUCCGGCCGGGAACUCAAAGGAGACUGCCAGUGAUAAACUGGAGGAAGGUGGGGAUGACGUCAAGUCAUCAUGGCCCUUACGACCAGGGCUACACACGUGCUACAAUGGCAUAUACAAAGAGAAGCGACCUCGCGAGAGCAAGCGGACCUCAUAAAGUAUGUCGUAGUCCGGAUUGGAGUCUGCAACUCGACUCCAUGAAGUCGGAAUCGCUAGUAAUCGUAGAUCAGAAUGCUACGGUGAAUACGUUCCCGGGCCUUGUACACACCGCCCGUCACACCAUGGGAGUGGGUUGCAAAAGAAGUAGGUAGCUUAACCUUCGGGAGGGCGCUUACCACUUUGUGAUUCAUGACUGGGGUGAAGUCGUAACAAGGUAACCGUAGGGGAACCUGCGGUUGGAUCACCU
rnacentral:rRNA from 1 species